GCAAGUUGGGAAGAGAAAAGUAUUGAUUGUGUCUUGGGUUUGUAUGAUGAACUUCCCAAAACUAUUUUUCUUUGUUUUUGGGAACUAUCGGUUGGGGUGUUUGUUGUGUGGGACAUUUAUCAGUGUUGCGCGCUAUGCAUUUGGAGUGCGUGAGUUACGUCAUCCUCAUUUGCGGAUAGACGCUGGCGAGGAAAGACGCACUUAUUUUCUCUCGCUCUUCCUACUUAAUGUUGGUAUGUAAGUAGAGUUCAUUCAAUUAAAGUUCGUUGAUCAUUGAGUACAAUGUUAUAUUGAAUCGAUUGUACACAUGCAUAUUGUGUAUUUUGAAUUUUGUGUGAGCUUUAUCGGACGCACGUGGAGUGAACUAACUGUUGAUUUGUGCACAGUGUGUGAUGUGGGAAGAGGUUGGCGCAACGAAAAAUAUUGAUCAAAUUGUCCCAUAUGUUUCCAGGUAUGUUCAGUUCUUCAAUUUAACCAGCAUAACGUGAUCUAAUUUUUGUAAAUUGGGUUUAUAAUGAAUAUGUGGAUUGUACUUUUGAGCAGAUAUUGUAUAUUUAUUUCUCAGAUUCUAUAAUACAUUAUAUUAUGUUACAGCCAUCUACUACACUGGUUUUGCAGUUAUAUAGAGUAUAAUGUGGAUGUGUCUGAUGUUUUGAGGGAAAAACAACAACAUUAUUCUUAUGUGUUACUAUUGAUAUGUUUGAAGAAUAUAUACACAUCCAGCCAUUUCAUCACUUUAUUUUUCCUUUAACGAAAGAAAUGUAUUAUUUGCACAAUAAUGUAUCUGCUACAUAAUGUUAAAUAUGUAUACAAGUGAGUUACGUCAUCCUCAGUUUGCGGAUAGACGCUGGCGAGGAAAGACGCACUUAUUUUCUCUCGCUCUUCCUACUUAAUGUUGUGUGUGAUGUGGGAAGAGGUUGGCGCAACGAAAAAUAUUGAUCAAAUUGUCCCAUAUGUUUCCAGGGCGGGUCAAUAAAUUCAGCUGUUCUCAAGCCA